UACGUAGGGGGCAAGCGUUGUCCGGAAUUAUUGGGCGUAAAGAGCUCGUAGGCGGCUUGUUGCGUCGACUGUCGGAAAACCUGCGGCUCAACCCGUGUGGUCUGCAGUCGAUACGGGGCAGGCUAGGAGUCAGGUAGGGGAGAACGGAAUUCCUGGUGUAGCGGUGAAAUGCGCAGAUAUCAGGAGGAACACCGGUGGCGAAGGCGGUUCCUCUGGGCUGUACUGACGCUGAGGAACGAAAGCGUGGGGAGCGAACAGG
rnacentral:rRNA from 1 species